rnacentral:misc_RNA from 1 species
ACUGAAUCAAUCCUUUUGGUUCACAUACUUGUGAAACCAAAACUGAACUGCUAAAGAAUUAUCAUCUAACUUUUUGUUGCCUGCAUAAACUGGUCAGUCAACCAUGCAUUUAUCAAUGUAACGAGUAUAGAUGAUAUCAUUCAAACUUUGAAAAAAAUUUAUUCUUUCCAGCUUUUCUAACUUGGCCUUAACUGUUCAAACUAAUGUAGUGAAGUGGGGGGAAUUCCUUUAUUUACAGAGAAAUAAAUCCUGGUCUGCCUGUCAAGAUUCCGAAGUGGGAUUGUCUCACAUUUUUUCUAUAAUUGUCUUCGUGGGCAUGAACUGGGAUUUAAGCUUUGUAUUUUCCAUGCGACCUUCCAAACAAAGUUCCAGGUUUUUGUCCAAUCUUCCUAAAUGUGGAAGAACUAAAUAAAUAAAAGGAAGCACAAGCCUCCUCUCAUUGUCCUACAUCUGGAAGAAUUGAGGAGUUAUCAUAUCUCUUCACUUCUAUAAAUCCAUGGUAAGGCAUUUAAAAUAUUAUAGUGAAUAGCUGGCUCAUGUUUGUUUAAG